rnacentral:rRNA from 1 species
UGCGGAAGGAUCAUUAGAUAUGAGUAAGGGUGCUCAGCGCCCGACCUCCAACCCUUUGUUGUUAAAACUACCUUGUUGCUUUGGCGGGACCGCUCGGUUCCGAGCCGCUGGGGAUUCGUCCCAGGCGAGCGCCCGCCAGAGUUAAACCAAACUCUUGUUAUUUAAACCGGUCGUCUGAGUUAAAAUUUUGAAUAAAUCAAAACUUUCAACAACGGAUCUCUUGGUUCUCGCAUCGAUGAAGAACGCAGCGAAAUGCGAUAAGUAAUGUGAAUUGCAGAAUUCAGUGAAUCAUCGAAUCUUUGAACGCACAUUGCGCCCCUUGGUAUUCCGAGGGGCAUGCCUGUUCGAGCGUCAUUACACCACUCAAGCUAUGCUUGGUAUUGGGUGCCGUCCUUAGUUGGGCGCGCCUUAAAGACCUCGGCGAGGCCUCACCGGCUUUAGGCGUAGUAGAAUUUAUUCGAACGUCUGUCAAAGGAGAGGACUUCUGCCGACUGAAACCUUUUAUUUUUUCUAGGUUGACCUCGGAUCAGGUAGGGAUACCCUGCUGAACUUAAGCAUAUCAAUAAGCGGAGGAAAGG